ensembl:lncRNA
CUUUCCAGCACUGUGUCUGAAGGUUUAAAGCUUCGUGUUGGUGACUGGAGUCUGAGUGCAGGUGAGUACCGCAGAGGACUUCUUUCAGGCAGAUUCUGUACUCAGAUACAGUAAGAUCAGCUCCGUGGUUACAUCAAGUUUAGUAUAAUUGUGGCUAAUUUUCUGUUUGGGUGUGUUUAGUAUAGCUGUAAUUUCAAAGUUAAUGUUCUGUUUACAUGUGUACAAAGCAUCUGGGACAUAGCAAUUCCAGCACUGACUAAUUUUGUUUUAAAACAUCAGUCCUACAAAGAAAGAACCAUACAUGCAGCAGCCAAGGGCAAACAGUGCUGCUUCUAUUUACAACAGUUACUAUAGUGAUAAACAUGGUUUAGGAACCUACAUAGAAAUAGAAAUCCCCUUCUCCCGAAAUAGCUAUACACAAAAAGGAACAAACGACAGCAGGAAAAACACCAAGUAAAGCUCUAAGCAGUUGUUUUCAUCUACUUGAUAGAAACCCUUGUAUUUCCAUUCCUUUUCUUUCACUCUUCUUUGUCUUUCCAGUUUCCCUCAGUAACACCAUUGAAAGUGUCUGUCUUUAUUCUCAGCAUCCUGGAUGGUGAGUGGCAUCUCUUCCUUUUCUUCCAGUUUCCCUGCUUGGAUUCCUCACCAUUUCUCCACACUUUUGUUUCUUGGCCUAAACUCAGCCAGCCAGUCUCAGUUCUGCACCUCAGUUUCUCAUCAGAUGUCUCCCUCCAUUUCCCUUGGCGUUAUUCAUGGGUUCUUAUCUCUCCAACCAUCAUUGUGUAAAUCAUAUUUCAGCCUCCGCCCAAGCAGCCCAGCCUGCCCUCUUAGCCAAUCUCUUGCUCACCUGGCUUCUGCCCAACUUCCAGUCAGUCUUUUCCUCUCUUCAGCUCUUAGCAAGCUCUCUGUCACCCUCUUUAAUCUUCUUUCAUCCCUCAGCCUCCUACUUCUUUUGCACUUAAACUAUUUUGGGUGGAGUGCUAAAGAGUGCCAUUGCAGGAACAGGAAGAAAUACCCAGUAUUAGUUCAGCUGUUCAACCUGUUCUGAGACACAUCGCUUAUGCAGACUGCUGUACGGACCCUCUCAAAGACAGAUGAAGGAUAUCUCGGUGACAGCUUUUGUUGCCCUAAUAUAGAGGUCUGUGGCUGGGAGGCACUUGAAAGGUAUCAGUGGGCUAUUUUUAAUCUCUGCAGACUGUUCUUUAAAAAAUCAUUUGUAAGGAGACAGGAAUGGCUUUAUUUCUAACCAUGCUCCGGGACGCGAUAGUGCCAAACUUCUCUCCUAAGCACAUAUAAGGAUUUUAAUUUAAAGACAUUCUGUGAUAAAGGCAACAUAAAUGACUUCCGUACCUUCCCAAAACACCUUUUCCUUUAUUGAUUUCAUUUGAGUGACCAUGGGAAGAUGAAGUUAAGGAGGAAUUGCCACUGAUUUGCUAUUUUCUUCUGUUUGUAUCCAUUCCACUCAAUUGCAGACCUCUCACAGAGCAGGUAGCACAACAAUACUUUCUUAGAAGGAAUGAUUCCUGCAGGUGAGAUACACAGAGGCUAUCUUAGCCAUCUACCUUAACCUGCAUAGAAAAGCUUUGUUACAAUCAUGUGGGAACCUCCUGACCUCUCCCUGUAAUCUUCAGCGAGUCAAAUCCAAUUCUUAUAUAUUGUUUGAUAUGAGAAGCCUUGACAAAUGUAAGAAGUCACUAAAAAUUACUGCUGCCUUUUGUAGAAGAGCUGUAUCAAAUACCAAGCAGUCUUGUGGCUUUUCUUUUUAAU